rnacentral:rRNA from 1 species
CGUAAAGCGUGCGUAGGCGGCUUCUUAAGUCGGAUGUGAAAUCCCUGAGCUUAACUUAGGAAUUGCAUUCGAUACUGGGAAGCUAGAGUAUGGGAGAGGAUGGUAGAAUUCCAGGUGUAGCGGUGAAAUGCGUAGAGAUCUGGAGGAAUACCGAUGGCGAAGGCAGCCAUCUGGCCUAAUACUGACGCUGAGGUACGAAAGCAUGGGGAGCAAACAGGAUUAGAUACCCUGGUAGUCCAUGCCGUAAACGAUGUCUACUAGCCGUUGGGGCCUUUGAGGCUUUAGUGGCGCAGCUAACGCGAUAAGUAGACCGCCUGGGGAGUACGGUCGCAAGACUAAAACUCAAAUGAAUUGACGGGGGCCCGCACAAGCGGUGGAGCAUGUGGUUUAAUUCGAUGCAACGCGAAGAACCUUACCUGGUCUUGACAUAGUAAGAACUUUCCAGAGAUGGAUUGGUGCCUUCGGGAACUUACAUACAGGUGCUGCAUGGCUGUCGUCAGCUCGUGUCGUGAGAUGUUGGGUUAAGUCCCGCAACGAGCGCAACCCUUUUCCUUAUUUGCCAGCGGGUUAAGCCGGGAACUUUAAGGAUACUGCCAGUGACAAACUGGAGGAAGGCGGGGACGACGUCAAGUCAUCAUGGCCCUUACGACCAGGGCUACACACGUGCUACAAUGGUCGGUACAAAGGGUUGCUACCUAGCGAUAGGAUGCUAAUCUCAAAAAGCCGAUCGUAGUCCGGAUUGGAGUCUGCAACUCGACUCCAUGAAGUCGGAAUCGCUAGUAAUC